UUCACCCUUCUUAUGUUGAGGAUCACCCCUUGUUUUAUUUGUGUAGCUAUAGCCUACUCUAUAAAGAAACAAAAAAUAUAAAAAAUGAGAGUAGUCGCGAUCGUAGCAUUGAUUUUCCUGGUAACAGCAAAAGAAGUCUUCUCCAAGACCAUUGAAUGCCAAGUACCAGAAUGUCCAAAACAUCCCGGUGUUCCUGACUGCAACCCAAAAUGCGAAGUUAACUGUUUCGCGGAUCCAUGUCUCAACUGCAGAGACAACCCAGACGUGAUUUGUGUUGCCAACUACUGCCAUGGAUGCAAUGCUUGCUUCUACGAGAAAGGAACUAAUAAUCCGCUCGAUGGCUGCGACCUAGAACAAUAAAUUAUUGAUAUUAUAGAAGAUAACAGUCUUACAAUCGUGUUUCUAAUGAAUUUAAAAAAUGUCUCUUGCAAGAAAUAUUUUUACAGGAAUAUACUAAGCGUGACUUAAAACCUCUUCCGAAGGCGAUUAUAUUCUAAAAAUUAACAUAUUGUAUUUUUUGUAUAAAAAAAUGGUUCCGGCCUUUUCAGUACGUAUAAGCGUCUAUUAAAUGAACUGUUUUUAUCCUUACAUGACAUAUGUGUACAGAGAAAUAUGAUAUGAUGUAACAAAUAGCUGAGCUCUCAACAUUCAAACAAAUGUUCUCAGUCUGACGUAUAAUAUAGUUCGUCUGUGUCACCUUCGUAGAGCGCAUGCUCGUUCGAACUGCUUGUUAACUUUUUAGUAUAAAUUGUUUUUUAAAUCUACAUAUGCUUGUAAAUGUCUGUUCUCAGUUAUAAACUUAUUUUAGGUCUCGCAAUAAGAGUAGCUUUACUGAUAAAACUUGUACUUCGUGCAUUUCUAUGCUGGUUACAAAACAUAGAUGUAGCCAUGUCAGCGAUAAUGCAACAGCGGAGGUCCCACUGAUAUAACAGAGGAAGACUGACAUUUCUUUAAUAAGUAACUUGAUACCAGUUUAAAAAGUUUAAUAUUGUGCAUGUUUUGCUUUGAAACCAGCAAAGCAGUGUUUUUAGGAUUAAUAAAUUCAAUUUUGGUUUAUUGUGUUUUCACUGUUCGGAGGAAUAGGCAACUCAUAGAAUUUUCAAUAUACAUUGUAUAACAGAAAGCUGUAUAACUUCAUAAUGAUUGAUUAUUGUAAUGUGCGAAUAUUUGUAAAUCAGAUGGUAUAUUUUAGCUAGAAUUCUGUUUAGUGCAAGCACGUUCCCUUUGAAUCAAACUAUUUUUCAUAGCAAUGCUCUAGCCAAAUCCAUACAAGAUCACGCUUCUUUUUUAUUGUCAGUCAGUAGUUUAUUUUUCACCCUAUCAAAAAUAGGCACAAACAUAAAAA